rnacentral:piRNA from 1 species
CCGCCAACUAGGAACCAAA